rnacentral:rRNA from 1 species
CCUACGGGAGGCAUCAGUGGGGAAUAUUGGACAAUGGGCGAAAGCCUGAUCCAGCAAUGCCGCGUGAGUGAUGAAGGCCUUAGGGUUGUAAAGCUCUUUUACCAGGGAUGAUAAUGACAGUACCUGGAGAAUAAGCUCCGGCUAACUCCGUGCCAGCAGCCGCGGUAAUACGGAGGGAGCUAGCGUUGUUCGGAAUUACUGGGCGUAAAGCGUACGUAGGCGGUUAUUCAAGUCAGAGGUGAAAGCCUGGAGCUCAACUCCAGAACUGCCUUUGAAACUAGAUAACUAGAAUCACGGAGAGGUGAGUGGAAUUCCGAGUGUAGAGGUGAAAUUCGUAGAUAUUCGGAAGAACACCAGUGGCGAAGGCGGCUCACUGGACGUGUAUUGACGCUGAGGUACGAAAGCGUGGGGAGCAAACAGGAUUAGAUACCCUGGUAGUCCACGCCGUAAACGAUGAUAACUAGCUGCCAGGGCUCUUAGAGCUUUGGUGGCGCAGCUAACGCAUUAAGUUAUCCGCCUGGGGAGUACGGUCGCAAGAUUAAAACUCAAAAGAGUAAGUAGACGNGAGAGAGCGACGACGACGACGACGGAGGAGGAG